rnacentral:rRNA from 1 species
UACGUAGGGUGCAAGCGUUGUCCGGAAUUACUGGGCGUAAAGGGCUCGUAGGCGGCCAACUAAGUCAGAUGUGAAAUCCCUCGGCUUAACCGGGGAACUGCGUCUGAUACUGGAUGGCUUGAGUUUGGGAGAGGGAUGCGGAAUUCCAGGUGUAGCGGUGAAAUGCGUAGAUAUCGUAAGGAAGACCAGUGGCGAAGGCGGGUCUCUGGACAGUUCCUGACGCUGAGGCACGAAGGUCAGGGGAGCAAACGGG